rnacentral:lncRNA from 1 species
GGAUUGUAAAUUGGUGCAACCACCACGGAAAACAGUAUGGAGAUGCCUCAGAAAACUAAAAAUAGAAGUACCAUUUGAUCCAGCAAUCCCACUCCUGGGCAUCUAUCCAGAGAAAACUAUGACUUGCAAAGACACAUGUACUCCAAUGUUCAUUGCAGCACUAUUUGCAAUAGCCAAGACAUGGAUACAACAUAAAUGUCCAUCGACAGAAGAGUGGAUCAAGAAGAAGUGGUACAUAUACACAAUGGAAUAUUACUCUGCCAUUAAAACGAACAAAAUACUGCAUUUUUAGCAACAUGGAUGGACCUAGAAAUUAUCAUGCUAAGUGAAGUCAGCCAUACAAUGAGACACCAACAUCCAAUGCUUUCACUGACAUGUGGAAUCUGAAAAAAGGACAGACGGAACUUCUUUGCAGAACAGAUGCUGACUCACAGUCAUUGAAAAACUUAUGGUCUCUGGAGGAGACAGUUUGGGGGGUGGGGGGAUGUGCUUGGGCUGUGGGAUGGAAAUCCUGUGAAAUCAGAUUGUUAUGAUCAUUAUACAACUACAGAUGUGAUAAAUUCAUUUGAGUAAUAAAAAAUAAAGUAAAAAUAAUUAAAUAAAAGGAAUUUUUCCAUGGAAAAUAAAAUCAUGGACAUGGAGAACUGACUUGUGGUUGCCAAGGAGGAAGGGGAGGGAGUGGGAUGGACUGGAAAUUUAGGGUUAAUUGAUGCAAACUAUUGCCUUUGGAAUGGACAAGCAAUGAGAUCCUGCUGAAUAGCACUUGGAACUAUAUCUAGUCAUUUAUGACAGAGCAUGAUAAUGUGAGAAGAAAACAAUGUAUACAUGUAUGUGUAACUGGGUCACAUUGCUGUACAGUAGAAAAUUUCAAGAACACUGUAAACCAGCUAUAAUGGAAAAAAUAAAAAUAAUUAUUGAAAAAAUAAAAUAAAACAUACGAUCAAUCAUAAUGAGUAAAAAUAAAGUAUGUAGUACCUACUCAAAUUGUAACUGGCAAAAAAAGAAGAAAAUGGAUAUAUCUGAAAAAAAGCCUGAUGUAGUCACAAAUUUACUAAGUUAUAAAAGAAGAAUAACAAAUUGUUAGUGGAAGAAAUUAUUAUUUAAUUGAAAUGAUGAAAAAUUAUCUUGCUUCAUUUCUUGAUAAAUUUCAACAGAUUUGAAUUUAAAUGUGAAAAUUUUGACUUUAACAAAGUUCAGUUAAAAUAAUCUUGAAUUAAUAUUUGUCUAAAUAUAACAUUUGUCAAUGCUUGCUUUAAAAAUUAAACUGGGAGUUCCCGUCGUGGCGCAGUGGUUAACGAAUCCGACUAGGAACCAUGAGGUUGCAGGUUCGGUCCCUGCCCUUGCUCAGUGGGUUAACGAUCCGGCGUUGCUGUGAGCUGUGGUGUAGGUUGCAGACACGGCUCGGAUCCAGCGUUGCUGUGGCUCUGGCGUAGGCCAGUGGCUACAGCUCCGAUUGGACCCCUAGCCUGGGAACCUCCAUAUGCCGCGGGAGCGGCCCAAAGAAAUAGCAAAAAGACAAAAAAAAAUAAAUAAAUAAAUAAAAAUAAAAAUUAAACUACAACAAAACAAAACAUUAUACAAAAGUCCCAUAAUGUACCACUAGUGACAUCUUCCAACACCUUCUUCAUUAUUGACUGUUGCAUUUAAGGUAUUGUCAAUUUGAGAAGUGAAAAAUGCAGUCUCAUUUUCUGCAAUGGCAAAAACUCUUUUAACAAUCCCAAUGACUUUGUACUGCCAGUCUCUGAGGACGCUAAAACAAUCAAAUGAAUUUUCUCCUUUAUUCCUCCUGUCAAGGGAUGCCUUUAUAUACUCUUGUCUUUUGAAGUUCAAAGCAGAAAAUGAAAUCACUGGAUGAUGAAGACUAGACAUCUAGGAUUUCAUAUUGAUGUUAUUUCUGAAGUCCAAGUGCAACUGGUAGGUUACAUAAUCCUGAUAUGUUACCCUACCCAUAUACCACAUCUAUCAUACUGGUUUCAUCUACAAUGUAAGUGUGUCCAUACUGAUAAAAUUCAAAUGCCAAAGUAAUAACUGAGAGGAGGGCUGCAAAGAGGAAAUUAUCCUGGAGAAAACUGAUUUUUAUACAAAUGGAAAAUAGAUACAAAAAUCACUGUAAUUGUGAUCACUGGGAAUUAAGAUAAUGAUACAGUAAUCCAGGGCAAAUAAAUUAUGCUUAGGGAAAAGGAUAUGUUUUCAAGGUGUUUUAAUUGUUUGCUUAUACUGGUCAGGUUGAAUGACUUUAUGCUUUAAAUUAUUGCAAAAUGUAGAGGAAGUUUCAUAUUUGUUUCUAGUGAUGCAGUUAUUUUUAAAGAGAGAUAAUAGACAUAAGGAUAAAAUAUUAGAUUCACGGCUUGGAGAAUCAGAAUUCUCUUACAAAAUAUUGAUGCUAUCAUUACACUUGAUAGGAAUUAUGAAAAGGAAUAUAUGGUGAAAUAUCUUAUGACAAUAGUCUGAAUAUAGCCAUAUAUUUAAACAAACAAUAAUCUGUUAAAAAAUGUUUUGAGAGAAAUCAUCUUGUCUAGGACUUCACCUUUGCUAAAUCCAUGAGCACCUACAAAUCUACUUACUUGCAUACUUUAGAAAAACACAUAAGGUCUAAGGGUUGUAGCUUAGAUAAAAAUAAUUGUCUUGCAUUGAGAGUACAAAGCACUAAAAAGGAAUGAAGACUCACAUGCAAAGACUUCCAUUUUCCAUUACAUUAGUAUGUGAAAGAAAGAAGUUUUAUGCUACUCUGAGUGAUAGUGUCAAAUAUCAUGGUUAGAGUAUGGGCCACUUACAAUAAAAUCUGUGUCUUACGGAUAGUAACCUUACAUAUCCGAGUUCAUAUAAUUAAAUAUUCUUUAUGGUUAACUAGACAUAUUGUACCUUUAAAAUAUAUAUUGUGUGAUUAAAAUAUUAAAGGCACAUAGAUAAUCAAAAAUAUGCUAUUUUCUUUUCUCAUUUUGGCAUUAAGUCUGACUCUAGGCUUUAAAGUAAAAAAAAAAAAAAAGACUGGAGAUGAUCAUGGAGCCUGGAAUAAGACUUGAACAACAGAGCAAAAAUAGAUAAACAAGGGAAGUACUGAAAGAAGUGGACUUAUGUCGAUCAAGGAAUGACUUAAUUCCCUUUACGUAUAUUUUUUAAAAUUUGGUUUAGUUAGGUGAGUCCACCUCAGUAUGUAAGACAAUAUCUGUGAAUUAUUUCCAUUCUUGAAAAAGUUAAAGGUCAAAAGUAAAACACAGAGAAGUAACUAUCCAGAGAUGCUACAUAAAUAAUACAUCAUUCCCUUUCUUUCUUUGGGUUCAUGAUGGUAAAUGAUUCAUUCAUUUUACUACUUAUAUCUCUUUAAGAGAGAAAAGUUGAACAAGACUACUUUGGUAACCUACUAGUUCACAGUCUUAAUUAUAGUGCUUUAUUUCUACACACUCAUGACAUAAAUGAAAAUGUGUCAAUUAAAACAAAAUAUCAAAUACAAAUUAUCAUUUCAUCCAAUUUUGCAAAAGUAGGAUAAGAAUGCAUAGAUGUCAUACACUCACUUGUCUAAUCCCAAAACAGAAGAGUAAGGCCAAUGGUAAAGUGAACAUCUCUAGUUAUCAGAGCCAAUCUGGGUCAUUCAAAUCAAAAGCCUCAGUAAUUAGAUUUGAUCUCAGUAAACUACUUAGGUUUCUCAACAUUCAAAUUUUAACAAUAUGGGUCUUUAAUUUGUUCACUUCAGGAAGCAUAAUGCACAUCAUGUAAUUUCAGUAAUUUUUUUUUUUGUUAUGGCAAAUGUUUUUUUACUGCAUCCUGAGGAUGUCACAAAAUUGUGUUAGUAAUGUACUACCUGAGUCCCACGAAAGAUAAAACCUAUUUCCCUGAUGCUUUCUAAAACUUUUUUCUGCAACUCUAAUAAACUAAAUGUUCCCUCAUAUAUUGUUAUCUGGAGCUGAACACGAAGGAAGACAAGUUUUCUCAAGUGUUUAACUGACUUCACCUUGUACUAAUCAAGACACUAAUUUGAUUUAGUUGGCUCCAAAACCAUCACAUUUUUACAGUCUUCUGAUCCUGAGAAAUAUCUACAACUUCAAAAUACCUACAAGCAAGUUGCAUGACCACAAUGGCUGUGU